AUGUAGGGCAAUCUGUCUUUAAGUAGGGAUAAAUUACUCUUAAAGAAAAAAAGGAAUCCUAGAUAGUUUUCCCUUCAAGUCAAGCGUCUUGU
rnacentral:pre_miRNA from 1 species